rnacentral:rRNA from 2 species
UCGAGAAUUUUUCUCAAUGGGGGAAACCCUGAAGGAGCGACGCCGCGUGGAGGAUGAAGGUCUUCGGGUUGUAAACUCCUGUCAUUUGGGAACAAGCGCCAACAAGUAACUACUGUUGGCUUGAUAGUACCAGAAGAGGAAGAGACGGCUAACUCUGUGCCAGCAGCCGCGGUAAUACAGAGGUCUCAAGCGUUGUUCGGAUUCAUUGGGCGUAAAGGGUGCGUAGGUGGCGCCGUAAGUCAGGUGUGAAAUUUCGGAGCUUAACUCCGAAACUGCAUUUGAUACUGCGGUGCUUGAGGACUGGAGAGGAGACUGGAAUUUACGGUGUAGCAGUGAAAUGCGUAGAGAUCGUAAGGAAGACCAGUGGCGAAGGCGGGUCUCUGGACAGUUCCUGACACUGAGGCACGAAGGCCAGGGGAGCAAACG